rnacentral:misc_RNA from 1 species
UAAAAGAAAAAAAAAAAAAAAAAUUAAAAAGAAAAAAAAAAAAGGAUAAAAGAGAGGAAUUUGGUUGAGCAAGGCAACUUUCAUUUCUUUUGACAAUAAUAGGGCUAAGAAGGGUGACCAAUUCGCGCACCACUUACAAUAUGAUGAAAAUCAAGAGUGGGCUGAAAAGUAAGCGAGAAGGCCCACCAAUGGUGCAUUGAUGUAAGUUGUGGGUUCUGAUUCUUGAAAAAAUGGCCUGGAAUCUGGAAAAGCAUCUGAGACAUUUGGCCCACCUACUACCGCUCCUACGUGCACAUUUGGAUUUGGAUUUGGACUUAAGAAAUAGCGAGACCCUGCUUUACACCCUAUAUGGGCCGGGUGGGCCUGCACUGAUGGUAAGGAGCUGCCCCUGUGGUGUAUCCUCUGUGGGUAGCGUUCUCCAUAUCCAACCAUGUACGACAUCCUCAUUGGAUUAUCUCCAAGAAUGUAGUCCACCUGGUAGGACCCAUAAAUCAAUAUUAUUUCCAAAAUACCCCCCUGUCCUCUGCUCACGUGAUUAGCAGUCUUUUCCUUUUCAUAUUAUUUAUAAUGAAUAAUUAUUGUUACCUGACGUUGAGCUAAUUGCUUGAGAAGUGCAGGGGAGGCUGUGGUCUCACCACAUGGCACGACCUUAUUGGCGUGGCUUAGAUAAUUGGAAUAAGCUAGCAGCAAGAAAGACAGUGACGUUACAUGCUGCAUGUUACUCCCUCCAGCCUUGAAGAUCAGCCCACCUUUUCCAACCAACAAAAAACAAGCUUAUCAUUCUAAUCGACGUUAAUUAAUUGAAAAAAAAAAAAAUAAUGAUCGCAAACCUGGUUGUUUUAGCCGCAUAAUUGCAUUUUAAAAAUAUUCUAAAACCCAGUCAAAACUAAUCCAAAUAUGAAUAGCCCAAAAAUCCCCCUCUCUCUCUCUCUCUUUAUUCAAUUUUUUUUUUUAAAAAAAGCACAAUAAUUCCCCGACUGUUGCAUAGUUGACAAACUUAGGUAGUCACGUGCUUCUUACAAUAAUGAAAUGCUUUUUCUCUGGAAAGCAAACGGCUCAUUUGCAUAUAUGUGUUGAGAUUUAGCUGUCAAAAUGAUUAGGAAUUUAAAUUAUAAUGUGUGCACAUAUAAAAUAGGGAAAGGGCAAAUACCUGGAGAAUAAUGAACUUGAGGAUGAGAAAUUCCAGGCAAUAAAGAACAAAUGAAGUCAUCUGCAUUUCGCUUGAAAGAUUCGAAAUAGUCUGCUUUUCCCAUCAACACUUCCUGUAAAUUAAGUGGAAAAAUACCAUAAACAAUUAAUGCAAGUGUUCACCACUUUGUCUUAUAUGGUUGAUUUCAAUGGACAUAUACUUCCAUCUCCUUUGCUUGCAGAAGAAUUCAUUCAUGCACUGUAGGGUUAUAUUAUAAAUUUGUUCAAGGUGACCAAUAUUUUGCGGGAACAACAAAUUCAGAAGGGAAAUGAAUUAAACUAAAAAGCUGGUAAUGGGGAAGUCAGGAUCACUUUCAAGAAAAGUAAAUAAAACAUAGAAAGGACACCGGUCAGGGCAUGGGAAUGGGAAGAACGGGAACCCAAGCCCCAGCCUUUGGGCACAUGCAGCUCAGUGAUAUAGGGACCCCACGCAAUGUCGUCAGAUCUAAAAUGAAGGAUGAAUAGACUUUAAGGGCACUCCCACGUUGUUACCUUUUUAGAUAAUUGGUUCUGAAUUGAAGGGACGGGACAACUCUCAAAUCUCAUCCUUGCCCUUCUAAAAUUCCCGGCUUUUUUGACUUUGUGUAAUCUACCUUUAAUUAUAGGGGAAUGUCCAGAUUGUAUCCAAAGAAAAUUUUGCCUUCACAUGAUAUCAUAAAAACCGAAUUUAUGCUAAUCAGGUGCAAUCAUCAAAAUUCUUUUUCUUUUUUGUCAUUAUCAUCUGGACUAUUUUAAUUUUCCAUUUGAUCUAAAUAGUAGGGUCAUAAGCAUCAAGUCUACACGCAUAACCAGGAUUCAAUUUUUUCAUAACCCCUUUUCCCCUUGAUGAAGGCUUUAUCUAGACCUUUAAACUAUUGCAUUUGAUCUAAACAGAUGGGUCCAGCAUUGUCUAUAUAGGACCCCACUACCACAAUGCCCCACCUUCAAUCAUGUGCUUCACUUAUUCCUCACCACGUGACACCCAUAAAUUUUCUACUUGAGGAUAAAAAAAACCAAUCAGUCCUACAUAGCAAACAAAUACCACGGGACGGGAGGAACAAUAGUGCUAGGACAAGACAAAAGGUUCUGGUAAGCAACAACACAUAUAAAGGAACAACAUAAAUUAUUCAUAAAUAAGAUCUUAAUUAUAUAACCAGCAUUAUAUGAAAUGUAAAUUAAGUAAUUAAGAUGUUAAUUAAGGUUUUUUUUACCUUGGAAAUGAGGACGUUAAUUCCAGCAUGCUUGUUAUCCCAGCCAAACUCAUUGAUGGUAUCUCCAGCAUGCAGUACCACCUCGUUUUUCACUAUAUACUCUCUGUAUUGGCGCCUGCGUGAAGCCUUGUGCAACCAUGCUGCUCCCCAAAGCAACUCGUCCUGGUAGCCGUUGACGUCGCAGUAAAAAGGGCACACCGCAGAAUGCAGGCUGCUGCUGUACGCACCCCGGUGUGUAUCAGCAAACUCGAACACCCUAACGGCUCGAUCGAGAAGCAAUCUUGAGUAUGCAGGUUCACGUGAUCUAAACACAAUGGACGCAGCGGCCAGUGCAGCUGCAGUUUCACCAGCCACGUCGGAACCAGGGUGGGAACCGUCGAUUUUAUAUACCGUUCGAAUCGUAUCCAUGUCCUCUGGCCUCUCCCAGCAGUUAUGAUCAGAAUAGGCGUCGCCCACCUGAACAAAAACGACGCCGGGCACUGUCGUUACCUUUAACAGAUAAUCAGUAGCCCAUUUUAAGGCCUUAACGGCGUUCUUCAGCUCAGGUCCCAUGUUCCUUCCGAAGUCGAUUAUGCCCCACGACAGUAGCGUCGUCGUAAAUGCCAUUGGGAACCCAAACUUUAUGUUGUCUCCUGCGUCGUAAUAUCCUCCCGUUAAAUCUUUCCCGACGGAGAAGCCAUCGUGCAAGGCAGAAUCGCGGCGCCAUUUGACGCGUUGAUCUGGAGGGAGCCUGCCGGAGCGCUGGCCUUCGAAGAAAAGAAUGCUCUUUCGAAGAGCAUCUUGGUAAUCAUGGCCACCGCAGGAAAUUGGAUUGACAAAGAGGAGUAACAGAAGAGAAACGGCGACGCCAAUCGCCGGAAAACUUCCCAACAAUGAGUGGGAUUUUGGCGCCAUUUUUGAUUCCUGUUGUGGGUGGAGCAAAGUAGGAAGGAACUCUGUCGUGGAUU